AGCAGCCGCGGUAAUUCCAGCUCCAAUAGCGUAUAUUAAAGUUGUUGCAGUUAAAAAGCUCGUAGUUGAAUUUCGGGAUCAAUUUGCUGGUCGUGCCUCUGGUACGUACUGGUAUUAUUGGUUUCUCCCUUCUGACGAACCAUGAUGUCAUUAAUUUGAUGUCGUGGAGAAUCAGGACUGUUACUUUGAAAAAUUAGAGUGUUUAAAGCAGGCAUUAGCUUGAAUACAUUAGCAUGGAAUAAUGAAAUAGGACGUUUGAUCCUAUUUUGUUGGUUUCUAGGAUUGACGUAAUGAUUAAUAGGGAUAGUUGGGGGCAUUAGUAUUCAAUUGUCAGAGGUGAAAUUCUUGGAUUUAUUGAAGACUAACUACUGCGAAAGCAUUUGCCAAGGAUGUUUUCAUUAAUCAAGAACGAAAGUUAGGGGAUCGAAGACGAUCAGAUACCGUCGUAGUCUUAACCAUAAACUAUGCCGA
rnacentral:misc_RNA from 1 species